rnacentral:rRNA from 1 species
UACGUAGGGCGCGAGCGUUGUCCGGAUUUAUUGGGCGUAAAGAGCUCGUAGGCGGCUUGUCGCGUCGGCUGUGAAAUCCCGUGGCUCAACUGCGGGUCUGCAGCCGAUACUGGCAGGCUAGAGUUCGGUAGGGGAGACUGGAAUUCCUGGUGUAGCGGUGAAAUGCGCAGAUAUCAGGAGGAACACCGAUGGCGAAGGCAGGUCUCUGGGCCGAUACUGACGCUGAGGAGCGAAAGCGUGGGGAGCAAACAGG